rnacentral:rRNA from 1 species
AUUGAACGCUGGCGGCAUGCCUUACACAUGCAAGUCGAACGGUAACAGGUCUUCGGAUGCUGACGAGUGGCGAACGGGUGAGUAAUACAUCGGAACGUGCCCGAUCGUGGGGGAUAACGAGGCGAAAGCUUUGCUAAUACCGCAUACGAUCUACGGAUGAAAGCGGGGGAUCUUCGGACCUCGCGCGGACGGAGCGGCCGAUGGCAGAUUAGGUAGUUGGUGGGAUAAAAGCUUACCAAGCCGACGAUCUGUAGCUGGUCUGAGAGGAUGAUCAGCCACACUGGGACUGAGACACGGCCCAGACUCCUACGGGAGGCAGCAGUGGGGAAUUUUGGACAAUGGGCGAAAGCCUGAUCCAGCCAUGCCGCGUGCAGGAUGAAGGCCUUCGGGUUGUAAACUGCUUUUGUACGGAACGAAAAGCCUCUUUCUAAU